rnacentral:rRNA from 1 species
AUUGAACGCUGGCGGCAGGCCUAACACAUGCAAGUCGAGCGAGCGGCGGACGGGUGAGUAAUGUAUGGGGACUGCCCGAUAGAGGGGGAUAACUCCUGGAACCGGUAGCUAAUACCGCAUACUCUCGGCUAACCCCUAGGGGAUUUGCUAGUAGGUGAGGUAAUGGCUCACCUAGGCGACGAUCCCUAGCUGGGCUGAGAGGAUGAUCAGCCACACGUGGACUGAGACACGGCCCAGACUCCUACGGAGGCAGCAGUGGGGAAUAUUGCACAAUGGGCGCAAGCCUGAUGCAGCCAUGCCGCGUGUAUGAAGAAGGCCCUAGGGUUGUAAAGUACUUUCAGUCGGGAGGCGUGAGCGACAGAAGAAGCACCGGCUAACUCCGUGCCAGCAGCCGCGGUAAUAG